rnacentral:misc_RNA from 1 species
UUAAGUUCAGCGGGUAUUCCUACCUGAUUCGAGGUCAACCUUUAAAAAUUGGGGUGUUUUACGGCAGGGGACGGCCCAACUACAGACGAGAGAAAUUUACUACGUCUAGAGUGUGAGACCGACUCCGCCACUAACUUUGGGGAGCUACAGUGAUGUAGGCUCCCAACGCUAAGCAACAGGGCUUAAGGGUUGAAAUGACG